rnacentral:rRNA from 1 species
AGGACGAACGCUGGCGGCGUGCUUAACACAUGCAAGUCGAGCGGAAAGGCCCUUCGGGGUACUCGAGCGGCGAACGGGUGAGUAACACGUGAGUAACCUGCCCCUAGCUCUGGGAUAGCUCCGGGAAACCGGGAUUAAAUACCAGAUACGACCACUUUAGACAUCUGUCGUGGUGGAAAGGAUUCCGGCUAGGGAUGGGCUCGCGGCCUAUCAGCUUGUUGGUGGGUAACGGCCUACCAAGGCGACGAC